AACGAACGCUGGCGGCAGGCCUAACACAUGCAAGUCGAACGAGAUCUUCGGAUCUAGUGGCGGACGGGUGAGUAACGCGUGGGUAACCUGCCCUGUACAGAGGAAUAGCCAUUGGAAACGAUGAUUAAUGCCUCAUAAGACUACAGUAUCGCAUGAUACAGUAGCCAAAACUCCGGUGGUACAGGAUGGACCCGCGUUAGAUUAGCUAGUUGGUAAGGUAAAGGCUUACCAAGGCGACGAUCUAUAGCCGACCUGAGAGGGUGAUCGGCCACACUGGAACUGAGACACGGUCCAGACUCCUACGGGAGGCAGCAGUGGGGAAUAUUGCACAAUGGGCGAAAGCCUGAUGCAGCAACGCCGCGUGAGCGAAGAAGGUCUUCGGAUCGUAAGCUCUGUCCU
rnacentral:rRNA from 1 species